rnacentral:rRNA from 1 species
UACAGAGGGUGCUAGCGUUGUUCGGAAUCAUUGGGCGUAAAGGGCGUGUAGGCGGUUUGCUAAGUCAUGUGUGAAAUCCCACGGCUCAACCGUGGAACGGCCCCUGAUACUGAGAGUCUCGAGGGAGGUAGGGGCAUGUGGAACUUCCGGUGGAGCGGUGAAAUGCGUAGAUAUCGGAAGGAACGCCGGUGGCGAAAGCGGCGACCUGGGUCGAUACUGACGCUGAGGAGCGAAAGCGUGGGGGAGCGAACAGG